rnacentral:hammerhead_ribozyme from 1 species
AGCCAGUCGACGAGUCCCAAAUAGAGCGAGGCGCGUGUCCUGGAU